AGUGAACGCUGGCGGUAGGCCUAACACAUGCAAGUCGAACGGCAGCACAGUAAGCUCUUGCUCUUACGGGUGGCGACUGGCGGACGGGUGAGGCAUACAUCGGCAUCUUCUUUUUCGUGGGGGAUAUCGUAGGGCAACUUACGCUACUACCGCAUACGUCCUACGGGUGAAAGCAGUGGAUCUUCUGACCUUUCGCGUUUCUUUUAGCUGAUUUCGGAUUUGCUAGUUGGCGGGGUAAUGGCCCACCAAGGCGACGAUCCGUAGCUUGUCUGAGAGGAUGAUCAGCGACACGGGAACUGAGAGACGGUACAGACUCCUACGGGAGGCAGCAGUGGGGAAUAUUGGACAAUGGGAGAAAGCAUGAUGGAGCAAAACCGCGUGGGUGAAGAAGGCCUUCGGGUUGUAAAGCCCUGUUGUUGGGAAAGAAAAGCAGCAGGUUAAUACCCGGAUGUUGUGACGGUACCAAAAGAAAAAGCACCGGCUAACUUCGUG
rnacentral:rRNA from 1 species